GAUACUAAGUCCCUGGCCACUUGGAUGGGGCGUCGGACUGGCCCUUCCCACGGCCAGCUGAAGCCAGUGUUCUUACCCCCCCCCCCGCAGAGCGCAGCAGUUCGGAGCGGCAGCCGAGCGGCCUGUCCUUCGAGUAUCCGCGGGACCCGGAGCAUCGCAGUUAUAGCGACCGCGGAGAGCCAGGCGCUGAGGAGCGGGCCCGUGGUGACGGCCACACGGACUUCGUGGCGCUGCUGACAGGGCCGAGGUCGCAGGCGGUGGCACGAGCCCGAGUCUCGCUGCUGCGCUCUAGCCUCCGCUUCUCCAUCUCCUACAGGCGGCUGGACCGCCCUACCAGGGUCCGCUUCUCAGACUCCAAUGGCAGUGUCCUGUUUGAGCACCCUGCAGCCCCCACCCAAGAUGGCCUGGUGAGAUGAUGCCAUUUAUGAGCACUUGUCCAGUCUGGGCACUGUGCUGAGAGCAUGCUCUGCAUUGCCUCCUGUGGUCCUCACCACAGCCCAGUGGGAGGAAGGCACUGACAUUAUGAUGCCCAUUUUACAGAAGGGGGAACUGAGGCUCAG
rnacentral:sRNA from 1 species